UUAACAGCGGAGAGUUUGACCCUGGCUCAGGAUGAACGCUAGCUGCAGGCCUCACACAGGCAAGUCGAACGGCAGCGGGGGAGGAGCUUG
rnacentral:rRNA from 1 species